CCCCAAAGCUUCCAGUACACUUCACUGUUGCGGGUGGGCUGGUUCAGGGCGGGUCUUCGAUUUUGACGAUGUGUCUGGUGCAAUAGGCUUUAGUUAAAAGAACAGCUAGAUAGACAUGUGUUCGAGCGGAAGAACAAGUGGUAUAACCUAACGGGAGAGUAAUGGCGUAGUUGCAGCCCUCACGGGCCGGGCGAGAAGAACACCCUGGCCCGUGAGGAGCGACUAUCUUGUACAGAGGAACCGAACAAACAUGUCCCUGUGGUCCAGCAACACCGUUGUGCAUGUAAUUGUAGCGAACCCUAUUGCCUUGUUUUUCACUUCACGGGGGAACAAUUUGACCAUUUCAUAAAUACCACGGCCAACAUUCACACAUUGAAGAGGCUCAAAUGCAUCCCAAAGCCCAUCACCAAUUUUGUGCUACCCUUAGAAGGAUGUCUCGUUUCAUUCUUGACAAAGGAUGCUUACUUAAGAGGACUAAUAGACAUGCAAGGUCUGCAGUGAUCAAGUUGUAGAUGAAACAGCCAAGGUCAAAUGCUGGGCUCGGGAGAAAUGGUGGUAAUCACUGCAGAGAUCACAUUUCCAUAAAACCAAAUAUGCCCAUCCAGCUGCCCCACCUUGUUGAAAAUGUAGCUUCUAGAAGUCUAUACAUUUAAUUGUAGCACCAGUGGCGGUUUUAUGGUGGCAGAUUGGGAUUAAGAAAUUAUGUUCUGAUGACUGUCUUGAAUUUAAAUUAUUAUUUUUAUUUUAUUCCUCACAUAUCAAAGGAUGUUUUUCUGGCAUGUGAUGUUGAAUCACACUUCAGUCGUACUUCCAGUACAUUUCUGUCAAUAAUCUUCUUUUUUUUUUUUUUUUUUUUACUUAAAAUGUGGCAAAGGAAUAAGUAGUUAAUGGACGUCAAACAAGAAGUAAUUCACUACCUCACUGACAAUAUGUAUAUAUAUAUAGUGACAAUUGUAAUCUAUUAAGCCCCAUCCUUCCUGAAGUUCAAGUUUGCAUUAUAGAAAAGACAGCAUGUUCUUCUUCGAGUGUGAAGGAAGAAGACAUGCUUAUUACUUUUAGGGAAUGAUAGACAAUCCUAGAAACAUGGCAUGCAUUUUAAAUCUGAUCUCUGAUCUCUGAUCUCUGACCCCAUUCAUUCAUUCAGCUAAAACAUUCAGUGUGGCUAUAUCGUUUUCCAUCUCAUGCAUGCAUCCAUAUCAGAAAGGUAUUCUGGCCAAGAUGGUAUUUUGUUCAUUUGUUCAUAGAGGUAUACUAUCCAUAUUGCAUUUUGUUUUGUAGCAUGAUUCUGUUUGACUCCAAAUGCCCUGAAUUGGUGAUUGUAAGGUUAAGGUAAAAUAGAGGCUUGUUGAGUAUGUGUACCAGUACAUGCUGUACGUGUUUGCAAUGAUUUUGAGAAAGAACUAGGUCCAAGGUUCAUAUGGUCAACCCUGGAUAUGGGAUUUGUGCAAUAUAUUUCCCCUCCCUUUCCCUUACACCUGUAAUGGUUUUGAUAUAAAUAUGUAUAUUGUAAACAAGUGAGAAGUUGUUCAAAUAACAACAAAAUCACCAAUGUCUUCCAUUAAGAAAUGUAUAGUCCCAUAUGCUUAUGUAGCAAGCUUUUAGUGCCAACAUUAUACAUGGCCAUGCAUGAGAGGUAGUGAUGCUUGCUGAGUAACAUAGUUCUAGUAAUAUACUUAUAUAUUUUAAGGUGUAUACAGUAUAGACAGAACAAACUUUAGUUACCAACUGGGAUGUAGCAUCCUUUCCAACAUUAGUCUGAGAUUGCGCCGAAAGUGGGGACUCCCCAUUUCUUUGUUUUUCCAUCUCAAACCACAUAGACGGGCCUGUCUGAAGAGUUGUGUGUUGUAGGCAGGAGGGAGUAGUGGCUUUGACACUGAAGGCAUAAAGACACCACACGUUUGACCUGGCCAACAGCUGACUUGCAUGUCCAUUUUCACAGCCCCAGAGAUACACGUUAUAAUGCUGUCGUCAUAUUUAUGGGUUUGGCAUGAUUUUGGUUGGUGCUAGUUUAAUUGCAGUUUGAUGGGUUGUUUGUGUCAUCCAUGAUGUACCAAAAUUCUGUCAUAAGCAUUUCCUCAAAUACAUGAGACUGGACCCUCAAGGAAGGUUGUGUAGCAGAUAUUUCACCACAUGUACAGUAGACCUCUUACAAUUUGAGAGUAGCAUUCCUAGGUGCAGUGCCUGCCACAGUAAGCUUCACGUUUCAGUUUCAAGUUAUGAGUUUAUCAUCUGACUCAUAUUCAGCCCUUGCUGAAUUUUUGGCUCUUAAAUAUCUCCGAACACAAAUGCCAUUUUAAUAAUGAUUAAGAUCUUCAACUCUUUAAAUAAUGUCUCCUCAGUUCAGAUUAUACUAGCUGCUUGGUCAGUGAGGGAGUGCUUGUGUGUACAUUUUUUAAAAUUUGCAUAUUGAGUAGCAGUUGGUGGUAUGACCCAAAGCAAUCAGGACCAGUCUUCAUUGCACAAUUGCGAACACCUCCUGUUAAGGUUCUCAGACUCAGUGUGGGAUGUGUCCUUAAGUUGGUAGAUUACUAAAGUAGGUUAGAUGACCUAGAUCAGAGUAGCACAGAAUUUUAACACUAGGUAAACAGUAGGUUAUUAGAGUAUUAACAAUGUUGAGAUCAAGUAUUCAAAUAUUGUCAUGUAAAUAAAUACCUCAAUGAUUGGAAAUCAGAGUAAGACUUAAAAAUAGUUGUAAUAAAAUUGAAGCCAUAGCAUAUAUAGAGUUAGGAGCAAUACAAGAGUUAUGCAUGAUUGUAGGGCCAGGUCUGGUUUAAAUUAAUCUUUGCGGAAUGGAAACCGUUAGCGUAUAAAUUGUGUUCAGUGUUGAAAAGAAUAUGUAAGGUAUCAUUAGUAAUGGUGGUGGAGAGAGGCUUAGCAAUCCCAGCUAUGAGAUGUAUUGAUUCAACAGAAUACAUGUGGCAAGGAACUGAAACCACAUCAUUUAGUAAGCUUGCUGUUGGGUUUUCUUGUAGUUGGGAACAGAACAAUUUUCAGAAAUACCACUGAAGAAAAUGUAAAGUAAUGUAAUGUUGAGUAUGCAAGGGGCAUUCCAGCAUGUGUCCAUCGCAUGUUUACAUCAUAAUGACAUUAAAACAGUAUCAUUGUCAGAUGCACAUUAAGAAUAUGCAUUGUAUCGCAACCAAAAGCAAUAGAACCUGUGUAGUGGUUUUGUUAGUACAAUUACUAGUAUUUUAUGGAUGAACACACUAAACUGUAUGUCCACCAUUACCAUGGCAACAGAGCUCUCUUUCUGUGACCAUGAUGGCCAAAGGGAGUAGCCCUGUGUCAGCAUGAGGACCUCCCUGAAACGCUGCUGGUAGAUGAAUGGUGACAACGAUGACUCAUAAAACACUGCUCUCAUCUGUACUGUACAGUGAGAGAUACUUAUCAUUAAUUGUAACCACAUAACAUUGCAAAGCCAACCCCUCUAUGAUAAAUUAUGGACAUUAUGUUGUGAAAAUAACUAUGAAUUAAUAUAGUCUCAGUCUAUAGGAAUGCAGUGGAAAUAGUGUUUGCAUGAUGGAGAAACUUAAGAAAUGUGUAGUGCUGCAUGCAAUAAUGACUUUUUUUGUUUGAAUAUGACUUACAAAUAAUCAUUGCUUGGAAAAUGGAUUGGUGACUACAGCAUUGUUGUGAAAAGAAUUUUGUGUCGAUCAGAAAAUCUCCCAUAAUUCUUCUGGUAUCCUGUUACUUGUGUUAAUUUGUGAAAGAUGCAAAGUCUCUUAGGAACUGUUUAUGAAAUUACAGAAAAGUCAAUGUAACUGCAAUUACUCAAUGAUUGUUUGCAUCACCGUAAGCACACGAUUGCUUCAAACUGGACAUAAAUAAGUUGAUAUUGCUGAAAAUUGAAAAAGGUGUGAACGUGUCACUUUUGCAAUAUUUAUCUUGGUCCUUUUUUAUCAUUUACUGGCACAUUUAAUACAGUGACCCAAAUAUAUGAAUUUGGAUAAUAGCCUAUUUAAUCUGUUGUAGCUCACUGUAAUGUCAUUUUGCAAAGUUAUUACCAGAUGCAAGUUUAUGUUACAGAAAGGCACAACUACAACACUUGGAAAUUGGUGAAAUUCUGUUGUCAAACUCCAAAUGAUACGACUGUAGGUUUUGUCUGAACUAUGCACUCAAGAGAGGCACCAAGCAUGCUAAAAUGAGCCUCUUAACCAUUUUGUUGAAAGUGAAGAAAAUGGAUCACAUAUGUAGCAAUAAAAAGCAGCAUGGUGCCAAUCAUA